ACGGAAGGCAGCAGUGGGGGAUAUUGCACAAUGGGGGAAACCCUGAUGCAGCAAUGCCGCGUGAGGGAAGAAGGUCUUCGGAUUGUAAACCUAAGUAGACAGGGACGAUAAUGACGGUACCUGUAAAGUAAGCUCCGGCUAACUACGUGCCAGCAGCCGCGGUAAUACGUAGGGAGCGAGCGUUGUCCGGAUUUACUGGGUGUAAAGGGUGCGUAGGCGGGUCAGCAAGUCAGGCGUGAAAUACCGAGGCUUAACUUCGGAGCUGCGCUUGAAACUGUCGAUCUUGAGUGAAGUAGAGGCAAGCGGAAUUCCUAGUGUAGCGGUGAAAUGCGUAGAUAUUAGGAGGAACACCAGUGGCGAAGGCGGCUUGCUGGGCUUUAACUGACGCUGAAGCACGAAAGUAUGGGGAGCAAACAGGAUUAGAUACCCUGGUA
rnacentral:rRNA from 1 species